rnacentral:rRNA from 1 species
GACGAACGCUGGCGGCGUGCUUAACACAUGCAAGUCGAACGGAAAGGCCCUUCUUUUGUGGGGUGCUCGAGUGGCGAACGGGUGAGUAACACGUGAGUAACCUGCCCUUGACUUUGGGAUAACUUCAGGAAACUGGGGCUAAUACCGGAUAGGAGCUCCUGCUGCAUGGUGGGGGUUGGAAAGUGUCGGCGGUUGGGGAUGGACUCGCGGCUUAUCAGCUUGUUGGUGGGGUAGUGGCUUCCCAAGGGUUUGACGGGUAGCCGGCCUGAGAGGGUGACCGGCCAAAUUGGGACUGAGAUCCGGCCCAGACUCCUACGGGAGGCAGCAGUGGGGAAUAUUGAACAAUGGGCGGAAGCCUGAUGCAGCAACGCCGCGUGCGGGAUGACGGCCUUCGGGUUGUAAACCGCUUUCGCCUGUGCCGAAGCGUGAGUGACGGUAAUGGGUAAAGAAGCACCGGCUAACUACGUG